GGGGAAGAUGAAAGGGAAAAGCUAUAAGGGAACGCUCUGGGAUGAUUAAAAUGUUCUACGCUCUUGACUGGGCUAUUAGUUUCCCAGGUGGGCAUGUUUGUCAAAACACAUCGAAUUCUGUAUGUUUCAUCAUCGAUAAUUAUGUUCCAAUAGAGAGGAGAAAGGGUGAGAAAUGCCUAAUGUGGGAAAAAAGGAAUGUUGCUGGCUGUGGGAUUUGGAACAUUAGUGAGGGAUGUAUUUUAGGGUGAAAGGGGACACACUUUCCUGCUGUUUAUGCCAGAUGUGAGCCUAUGAUUCAGGACACUGUGAUCACUUGGAGAAAACUGAAUUCCCUUUUGCUAGAACCUCUAAGCCAAGCUGCUGACCACCCCUGAGAUCUGCACUCCUCUUGUUAUAGUCACAAGGCAGAAUUCUUAGGAAAACACCAUGGAAACAGUGCUAGCUUUCUCCACAGGACACACCAGUGACCCUGCCACUGAUCUCCUCCUUGGAGGAAGAAGCAGAAGUAUUAUUAGAAAUAAGUGGGCUGUAUUGGACUGCUAAACAACACACUGGAGAGGCAUAUGUUCUUCUCAAUUCCAGGAGCUUCUCAUGUGGAGUGAAAGGUUCUCAGUUCAGUCUUACCUGUUGGACUUCUUGGGAAUAGCAGUGAAGGCUCCGUUUACAGAAGGGUGAGAAACCUGAGCUUUGCAGAUGCACGUCUCUCUCUCGCUGUCAUCUUGCAAGAAAUGGGGAUUAGGUGUGGUCACCAUUGGCGGAACUGAAGCGCAGCAGCCCAUUGGAGAAGUGAUAAGGACGGAUAACGUCUGUGGAGACAGGUUGGCAGGGUUACAUGGAACAGUGCUUUCUUCACAGAAGCUUGCCCCUGGCUCCAUCUUGCUGGGGUCACUGGGUGGACACAGACCAAAGGCCUUCACUUUGCAUAUGAGGCACAACAGGAGUGCAGGCUCCGCUGCAAAGAACUCAGCCUGCAAGGUGUGCAGAGCCCAGUGCCGAGAUGAGUUUCCUUCAGUCCACAAUGCCCACAAUGUUUGUGGUUCUCAACUCAUGUUUCCACUUCUCUUGAGAAAACCCAGGGUUCUCCUCAUGCCUUCGCUUUGUCUCAGUAAAAUGAGGGGGGCAAUAAAGAAAAUGGAAACAGCAUUUGCCUAGUGAAUGUCAUUGUCAGUGUUAUGUGGGCCAUGGCUGAUGGGCAGGGCCCAAGUCAGCUGUGCCUGAGAGGUGGUGCUCUACUGGGAAGGGGCCAGAGCUCCCAGUCCUUGGCUCAUGUCCCUUCCUCGCAAUCCUUCCUCGUCACUGGGUGUUGGGGGUUUGUGACUCCUGCUAUGACUCCCUUCUGUCCUCAGCCUCCAUUCUCCCCACUUCCUGCCUCCCAUUUUUAAGCUGCAUCAAGUGGCUUGGACUUCCACAAAGGUUUUUUUUUUUUUUUUUUCCAGCCUGAAUUUGAGUUUGCUCAUUCAUAGCACUUGGAACAUGAACCUUGUCUGCUGUUACCCCACUGGGGAAUAAUAUCACGUCCCACCCCGGCCAGGGACAACAUCUUAGUCAUCUCUGCAGGCAACAUCAGCACGUGGCCCAGUGCCAAGCACACUGUGAAGCUCAAGGAAGAUAUUUAGAAAUCAGCUAACCGAGAGGCUGACACAGCUAACACACUGACAUGGAUUUAUACCCUCUUGGCUUCUGAAGAUCGUGCAUUUUCCUCCAGUGACACCAACCUGCAUCCAAUGCCAGAAAAAAGCCUGAGAUUCUAGUUAAAUCAAGCUGCGUUCAAACUCCAGCCCUGUCUAUCCUUCGUGGCCUUGGGCAAGUUACAUAAUCUCUCUGAGCCAUUAGUCUUCCCACUUUUUCAAAGUACAUGAUUCAGCCAUUAAGUCUUAGGAAAACAUAUAUUCACACAAUGACUUGUAGGUAAAAUUUUAAAGCAGCUUCAUCCAUAACAGCAUAAAACUAGAGGGGUGGUGAACAGCAUUUGGAAGAGAAUGUCCACCAACAGGUGAAUGUUCAGGGGUGCUACCAUGUAACACAAGCGAGGGGAAAUGCUCAACACUAAAGAAGAACGUUAUCACUGCACCUGUAACCACAUGCAUGGAUCUCCAAGGCAUGAGGCUGAGUGAGAGAAACCAGACACAUGCAUGAGUCCUUUAUAUAAAUGUAAACCCAUCCACACUGACACAAAGCAGUUCACGGGUUGCCUAAGCCAGGGCUGGAGGGAGGAAUAAACUCUAAGGGGAUUGAGGAAUCCUUGGUAGA
ensembl:lncRNA